rnacentral:rRNA from 1 species
UACGUAGGGUGCGAGCGUUAAUCGGAAUUACUGGGCGUAAAGCGUGCGCAGGCGGUUCGUUAAGUUCGUUGUGAAAGCCCCGGGCUCAACCUGGGAACUGCAAUGGAAACUGGCGGGCUUGAGUGUGGCAGAGGGGGGUGGAAUUCCGCGUGUAGCAGUGAAAUGCGUAGAGAUGCGGAGGAACACCGAUGGCGAAGGCAGCCCCCUGGGCCAACACUGACGCUCAGGCACGAAAGCGUG